CCCUUAGAUGUUCUGGGCUGCACGCGCGCUACACUGACGCACGCAACAGGUGCCUGCUCCGAGAGGACUGGGUAAUCAUUUGAGUGUGCGUCGUGAUGGGAUAGAAUAUUGUAAUUAUUACUCUUCAACGAGGAAUUCCUAGUAAGCGCCAGUCAGCAGCUUGCGCUGAUUACGUCCCUGCCCUUUGUACACACCGCCCGUCGCUCCUACCGAUGGGUGAUCCGGUGAAUGAUUCGGACUUCAGCGGCUCCCCUGGGGUGCGCCGGAGAAAGUUUUGUGAACCUUAUCACUUGGAGGAAGGAGAAGUCGUAACA
rnacentral:rRNA from 1 species